AGAGUUUGAUAUGGCUCAAGAUGAACGCCACGACGGCUUAACACAUGCACGUCGAGGGUAACAGGGGACUUGCUUCCGCUGACCACGGGCACGGGUGAAUAACACUAUGCAACCUGCCUGUAUUGCGGGAUAGCCUUUUGAAAGGGAGAUUAUACCGCAUGUGAUUAUAUUACGCAUGGUAAUAUACUUAAAUGCAUGAUUACAGAUGGGCAUGGUUUCAUUAGCUAGUGGGGGGGUAACGGCCCCAAGCUACCAUGAAUAGGGGCUCUGAGAGGAGGUCCCCCACCUGGACUGAGACACGGACCACACUCCUCGGGAGGCAGAGUGAAGAAUAUUGGCAUGGACGAAGUCUGACCCCAUGUCGCGCGAGAUACGGCCCCAUGGGUUUUAAACUGCAUUUAUACCACGAUAAAAUGUACUUUGUAUAGAUAUUGCGGGUUCGUAGAAUAAAGGAUCCGGAUACCGAGCCCACCCGGGGUAUACGAAAAUCCCACGUUAUCGGAUUUCUUGGGUCUAAGGGUGCGUAGGCUGGGAAAUAAGUCAGCGGUGAAAGUUCAGGGCUUAACUUUGAAAUUGCCGUUGAAACUGUUUUUCUUGAGUAUAUUGGAAGUAGGCGGAAUGUGUAGUGUAGCGGUGAAAUGCAUAGAUAUUACACAGAACCCCGAUUGCGAAGGCAGCUUACUAUACUAUUACUGACGCUGAUGCACGAAAGCGUGGGGAUCAAACAGGAUUAGAUACCCUGGUAGUCCACGCUGUAAACGAUGAUAACUCGCUGUUUGCGAUAUACCGCAAGUGGCCAAGCGAAAGCGUUAAGUUAUCCACCUGGGGAGUACGCCGGCAACGGUGAAACUCAAAGGAAUUGACGGGGGCCCGCACAAGCGGAGGAACAUGUGGUUUAAUUCGAUGAUACGCGAGGAACCUUACCCGGGCUUGAAAUGCAUCUGACGUACUGUGAAAGCAGUAUUCUAGCAAUAGCAGAUGUGUAGGUGCUGCAUGGUUGUCGUCAGCUCGUGCCGUGAGGUGU
rnacentral:rRNA from 1 species